ensembl:lncRNA
CAACUCUAAGCACAGCAUUCUUCUUAGCCCCAGACAUACAGAAGAUUUCCAAAAGGCACAGUCAAGUUCUACAGCCUCCCCUCUCCCACGGAUCCCAAGACAAGCCCCCGGAGUUGCUGGGCCUGGAGAGCAUCCUCCCAAGCUGUUUCCUGAAAUCCAAGCCUGAAAAACAGGAGUUGGCCUUCAGGUGCUUGCCAGAAGCCCCCAUUCAUUACCCUGCUGGGAAGGACUGUUUGAGGAGUGCGGAGCUGAGAAGGAUUCUCUGAAUCUGGCCUCAGAGGGAGUGUUGAUGGUUCAAGAGUGGCUUGUUCAAGAUCUUGUGUUCAAUACUUGAUACAAGUAACACACAAAGCCUGGGAGAAAGCGGAUGGAGCAAACCCUGGGACCAGUUUGGACGGUGACAGUGAAUCUGUUUCUAAAGAUCAUUCUCUGCUGCUGCUGCUGCUAAGUCGCUUCAGUCGUGUCUGACUCUGUGUGACCCCAUAGACGGCAGCCCACCAGGCUCCCCCGUCCCUGGGGUUCUCCAAACAAGAACACUGGAGUGGGUUGCCAUUUCCUUCUCCAGUGCAUGAAAGUGAAAAGUGAAAGUGAAGUCGCUCAGUCAUGUCCAACUCUUCGAGACCCCAUGGACUGCAGCCCACCAGGCUCCUCCGUCCAUGGGAUUUUCCAGUGCAAAGUCUGGGCUUCAGUUUCUUCAUCUAUAAUACAGAGAAGAUUGACUCAGAGGCCUUCAAACUGUGCUCCACAGAGGACUCUAGACUUCCUGGAAGAGCUCCAUGGUCUACUUUGAAGAACAAAGGCCACACACCAGGUUUCAACCAGAGAAGCUCCAUUUCUAUCUAUUUGUAUCUAUGAAGCUCCAUUUUUAUCUAUUAUACAUUAGGCUGUGAAUAAU